ACACGUACUGUGCGAACGUUAUUCGGAAUCACUGGGCUUAAGGGGUACGUAGGCGGCCUAUCAAGUCAGGUGUGAAAUCCCACGGCUCAACCGUGGAACUGCGCUUGAAACUGAUAGGCUUGAGAGAGACAGGGGUGUGUGGAACUUCUCGUGGAGCGGUGAAAUGUGUUGAUAUGAGAAGGAACACCGGUGGCGAAGGCGACACACUGGGUCUUUUCUGACGCUGAGGUACGAAAGCUAGGGGAGCGAACGGGAUUAGAAACCCUAGUAGUCC
rnacentral:rRNA from 1 species